rnacentral:lncRNA from 1 species
AAAAUCCAAGAUGUGGCCAUUUGAUCAAGAUUGGUUUAAGGAGUAUAUGGCCUCAACAUUGAAGUGGGCAGCAACUAAUCCCUGGGAGUUUAUCUACUAUGUUCUACUGUGCCUGUCUCCACUGUUCUUCAUAAGUGCACUUCUAGCAGUGGAAUCUAGCGAAACAGAUUGACGCUAAGGAAAAAGAUAAGAAAAGGCUAUCAAAAAGACAGAAAAACAUGGCAAAAACACGUCGACACAAAUCAGAUUGAUCAUAGAAUUCAUGUGAUAGGAACUGUUUAUGGAGGUAGAUUUCUGCUCAAUGCUGCGACAUACAUGUUACAUUGUGGAAGCUAUUUAUAAAUACUUGUGGACAAGGAAAUUUGACUGUCCGUUAGUGUACACCUGAAAUAAGAUACGAUGUGUGAAUAAUUUUAUAUGAAAUUAAACAGAUUGAAUUGUACAAUAGUCGAACAUUCACUACACCUUGUUUUAUUUUUAUUGUUGAACUCAAAAUGGUUAGUGAAAAAUUAGUUGUCCUUGUACUGCAGUUGAAACUGAGCUGAUUCCUAAUUAUUCAAUUUUAAUUUUAUUUUUAAGCAAUGAUAUUAUUUAUCAUAUAAUACCAUUGUGUUUGAAUAUACAGUUAAAACUUGCUGUAACAAGUUUCAAACAUUGAAUAAUAUGAUAUGCAACAAGUUAUCUAUUUUUGUGAUUUCUCCUUAUGUGUUAUCAAUGUAUAUAGUAUCUUUUAAUUUAUCACAAUUUUAUGUACCAGUUAGUAGCAGAAAAAUUAAACAAAUUUUAUCAACUGUUUUAUCACUUUAUUGGAACAACUUCGUUUGGUACUUUUAACUUAAUAUGAAUUUGUAAUGAAUACAAUUUUAAAUUUCAUGCACGUUUUUUUUCUCAUUCACAUUAGGCCGAAAUUAAAUUGUUCUUAAUUGGAGUUAUGCAAUAAAGUUGACAAUGUUUUAUGAUGUGUGUCCUGUGAUGGAAUGGAGGAUGUUGCAGAGAGACUUUCAGUUGAGAAACAGCUUCCAAUGAUUUCUAAAAGAAACAAAUAACUCAUUAAUAUACCUUUAGUUUUCCUGUAAAAGAAUAUUUUGCUGUAUGCACAUGCUUUAAAUUGACAAAGUAGGUUUUUUUUGUUCCAACAUAAAACAGUCAAAUUGUUUCUUUUAACUUAGUUUGAAGUAUAUAGAACAUGUGUUUUGUUUUCAUUAGAUUGUAUUAGUUUGUUCAAAAGGAUGUUUAAUUGUAUGAUGCAAAAUACGCAAUAUAGACCAGUAUGUUUUCAUUGUCAAUGUAUAGUCAUCACACAACAUUCCUUUUGUACAUUUUCAGUAAUAAAAUUAUAUUUAUAAUCAAA